UGAUAAUAUGCUUUAGUUCUUUGUAAAUAGAGUGGCUUUAAUUGGAUGCCAAGAAAUAGAUGGAUUUUAUGAGAGCCAGGUUCAAUUCCUCAAACAGGAAGGUCAAUGGUGAAAAAUAAAUACUUGAAGUCCAAGGGUAAACGGUACUGAAUCAAGGCUACAUAUUUUAUCCUUAGGGUAAGAUAUAGUUUGCGAGAAAUAAUCUGAAGCAGGAAUUCUUACUUUGCAGGGAGACUGAUUAAUACCCGUAUAAACUGUGACUUGUAUUGUUUUCAAUUCAGUUCAUAUUUCAUUUUCACCAUUG
rnacentral:misc_RNA from 1 species